rnacentral:rRNA from 1 species
CAGAGGGUGCAAGCGUUGUUCGGAAUUAUUGGGCGUAAAGGGCGCGUAGGCGGUGCGGUAAGUCUCUUGUGAAAUCUCCGGGCUCAACUCGGAGUCUGCAAGGGAACUGCCGUGCUUGAGUGUGGGAGAGGUGAGUGGAAUUCCCGGUGUAGCGGUGAAAUGCGUAGAUAUCGGGAGGUAACACCUGUGGCGAAAGCGGCUCACUGGACCACAACUGACGCUGAGGCGCGAAAGCUAGGGGAGCAAACAGGAUUAGAUACCCUGGUAGUCCUAGCCCUAAACGAUGAUUGCUUGGUGUAGCAGGUACCCAAUCCUGCUGUGCCGAAGCUAACGCGAUAAGCAAUCCGCCUGGGGAUACGGUCGCAAGGCUG